rnacentral:rRNA from 1 species
GGUAAUACGUAGGUGGCAAGCGUUGUCCGGAAUUAUUGGGCGUAAAGCGCGCGCAGGCGGUUUCUUAAGUCUGAUGUGAAAGCCCCCGGCUCAACCGGGGAGGGUCAUUGGAAACUGGGGAACUUGAGUGCAGAAGAGGAGAGUGGAAUUCCACGUGUAGCGGUGAAAUGCGUAGAGAUGUGGAGGAACACCAGUGGCGAAGGCGACUCUCUGGUCUGUAACUGACGCUGAGGCGCGAAAGCGUGGGGAGCGAACAGGAUUAGAUACCCUGGUAGUCCACGCCGUAAACGAUGAGUGCUAAGUGUUAGAGGGUUUCCGCCCUUUAGUGCUGCAGCAAACGCAUUAAGCACUCCGCCUGGGGAGUACGGUCGCAAGACUGAAACUCAAAGGAAUUGACGGGGGCCCGCACAAGCGGUGGAGCAUGUGGUUUAAUUCGAAGCAACGCGAAGAACCUUACCAGGUCUUGACAUCCUCUGACAACCCUAGAGAUAGGGCUUCCCCUUCGGGGGCAGAGUGACAGGUGGUGCAUGGUUGUCGUCAGCUCGUGUCGUGAGAUGUUGGGUUAAGUCCCGCAACGAGCGCAACCCUUGAUCUUAGUUGCCAGCAUUCAGUUGGGCACUCUAAGGUGACUGCCGGUGACAAACCGGAGGAAGGUGGGGAUGACGUCAAAUCAUCAUGCCCCUUAUGACCUGGGCUACACACGUGCUACAAUGGGCAGAACAAAGGGCAGCGAAGCCGCGAGGCUAAGCCAAUCCCACAAAUCUGUUCUCAGUUCGGAUCGCA